AGGGGCGAUCCCCACUCCUCAAACCCUAAAUCUUGCUUAAACUCUCAAUUGAAGGAGUAAAUCUGGUCCAAACGAAAAUCCAAGCUUAGAAUCGUGAUCCUCAUCGCAAGAGGAUUAUAAGGAACGGGCGCAGGAGCGUCAAGCGGGCAAGCGGGUGGCGAACCACGUCAAAAAGGGCUACUUUGAAGGAACGGGCGCAGGAGCGUCAAGCGGGCAAGCGGGUGGCGAACCACGUCAAAAAGGGCUACUUUGAAGGUGACGUAAUGGAUCUUACGGAUGGCGGUCAAGCGAAUAACGAAGAACCGAACGCUACAUUUUGAAAGCUUCCGCAAUGUUUAAACUCUUUAGUAGUAUUAUGUAUGAAUUGUAAUUACUUGUUAAACCACUUUUGGUAUGUUUUAACUUAAACGUUAGUCGACUAAGGUUGAUGUUCUUAACGGA